rnacentral:tRNA from 1 species
GUCUUCAUGGCUUAGUUGGUUAAAGCGUCGGUCUCAUACAUCAGUGUGAUCCAGUUAAACAUUGGAGUCAUCCGAAGGUCGCGAGUUCGACUCUCGCUGAGGACA